UACGUAGGGUGCAAGCGUUGUCCGGAAUUAUUGGGCGUAAAGAGCUCGUAGGCGGUCUGUCGCGUCGGCUGUGAAAACUCGGGGCUCAACUCCGAGCUUGCAGUCGAUACGGGCAGGCUAGAGUUCGGCAGGGGAGACUGGAAUUCCUGGUGUAGCGGUGAAAUGCGCAGAUAUCAGGAGGAACACCAAUUGCGAAGGCAGCUCGCUGGGACGUUACUGACGCUGAGACGCGAAAGCGUGGGGAGCAAACAGG
rnacentral:rRNA from 1 species